AACGAACGCUGGCGGCGUGGAUAAGACAUGCAAGUCGAACGGAAUUACUUUUGUAGCAAUACAGAAGUAAUUCAGUGGCGAACGGGUGCGUAACACGUGGGCAAUCUGCCGAAAAGUGGGGGAUAGCUCGCCGAAAGGCGAAUUAAUACCGCAUGUGGUGAGGGACGACAUCUUCCUGAAUCCAAAGCCGGGGCAACCUGGCGCUUUUUGAGGAGCCCGCGGCCUAUCAGCUUGNGGGCGGGGGUAACGGCCCACCAAGGCUAUGACGGGUAGCUGGUCUGAGAGGACGACCAGUCACACUGGAACUGAGACACGGUCCAGACACCUACGGGUGGCAGCAGUCGAGAAUUUUUCUCAAUGGGGGCAACCCUGAAGGAGCGACGCCGCGUGGAGGAUGAAGGC
rnacentral:rRNA from 1 species